AUUAGAUAAAAAACCAAUGCCCUUCGGGGCUUUAUGGUGAUUCAUAAUAACUUAACGAAUCGCAUGGCCUUGAGCCGGCGAUGGUUCAUUCAAAUUUCUGCCCUAUCAACUUUCGAUUGUAGGAUAGAGGCCUACAAUGGUUUCAACGGGUAACGGAGAAUUAGGGUUCGAUUCCGGAGAGGGAGCCUGAGAAACGGCUACCACAUCCAAGGAAGGCAGCAGGCGCGCAAAUUACCCAAUCCCGACACGGGGAGGUAGUGACAAUAAAUACUGAUACAGGGCUCUUUUGGGUCUUGUGAUUGGAAUGAGUACAAUUUAAAUCCCUUAACGAGGAACAAUUGGAGGGCAAGUCUGGUGCCAGCAGCCGCGGUAAUUCCAGCUCCAAUAGCGUAUAAUAAAGUUGUUGCAGUUAAAAAGCUCGUAGUUGAACCUUGGGUCUGGCUGGCCGGUCCGCCUCACCGCGUGCACUGGUCCGGCCGGACCUUUCCUCUUGGGGAUCCGCAUGCCCUUUACUGGG
rnacentral:rRNA from 1 species